UAAUACGAAGGGGGCUAGCGUUGUUCGGAAUCACUGGGCGUAAAGCGCACGUAGGCGGACUUUUAAGUCAGGGGUGAAAUCCCGGGGCUCAACCUCGGAACUGCCUUUGAUACUGGAAGUCUUGAGGCCGAGAGAGGUGAGUGGAAUUCCGAGUGUAGAGGUGAAAUUCGUAGAUAUUCGGAAGAACACCAGUGGCGAAGGCGGCUCACUGGCUCGGUACUGACGCUGAGGUGCGAAAGCGUGGGGAGCAAACAGG
rnacentral:rRNA from 1 species